rnacentral:lncRNA from 1 species
AAUGUAGCAUCCCCGAAUCCGGGUCCCAAAUCGCCACGGAUCCGGUAUACUAUUUCUAUCACUAUUGCGGAAGAUAUAAACAUAAAUUGUUUAUACAUUAAACUUUUACACAUCAUUCCCAAGGUCUACAACCUUAACUUAAUACAUACCUUCAAUAUCUUAGAAGAUUUACAAUACUAUUUUCAUCAGAAAAUUUAAUAAAUUUAACUACAACAUAAAGAAACUUUGCACUUUGUCUUUGCCUCUAUCCUUAUUCAAGCCUUCAUCUUAAUCUAAAAAUUUUAUCAUGAUAUAGCAAGGGUGAGCAACAAAUUUGCCCAGCAAGUUUUACAUACAAAGGAGAUAUAUCAUGAUUGAAAAGAAUGGAUAAGCUUUCAAGUUUUCAACAAUAUAAUAAUUGUGAAAUAACAUGAAUCAAUUUUUCAACGAUUGAAUGACUGAACCAAUAAUAAUGGAUGUCAACAAUUAACAUGAACAAGUUUAACUGAAACAUAUGGUAAUGAAGGUGAUCAGCCUUUCAUACCUGAUGAACAUAUACAACAUGCACAAUGUGCGAAUCAAUAAUUUAUUGACGUGGUAUAAUCAACAAUAAUUAACCACUAACAUGCUUUGAAUUAACAACUCAAGUUGAGUUAGGAAACUUGCACAAUAAUUAGAAGUUCAAGUUUAGGAACUUGCCUGUACCGUUGAUUACCGCUAAGCAAUCAAUUUAAUCUCUUAUAAAAGACCUAUCAUUAAUAAGAUCGAUCCUCCAAUUAGCAUAAUACAUUUUAUCCCACAACACUAUUACUCAAAUAAUAAAUUAGCUAACAUUUAGCCACAUAAUUAAACAUUAAAUAAUUCUUUAACUCAUUAGUAAUAUUAUUAUCCCUUAAUAAUAUUACUAUCACUUAUCCAUUAUCUUAAACUUUUGCCUAAUAUUCUUUUUAUAGAAUAUUUAUCAUUUACAAAUAUUAUUAAUCAUUUAAUAAUAUUUAAAUCCUUUACUAAUAUUAUUAAUCAUUUAAUAAUAUUGUAAUCACCUUCUAAUAUUAUUAAUCAUGUAAUAAUAUUUUACUUGUUUCAUAAAUAAUAAAGGUCUCACACAUUUUAAGAUGCAAAUAUUUUACACCUUGAAACUUAAACCAUUUAAAUUUCAUUUUAGAAAUAUCUUUUACCUCUACUCGCAAAUUCGGAGUUUAAACAGCUAAUGUAUAGCUUUUAUAGUAAAAAUCAAUUUACUAUAUUAUUUCUUCACUUUAAAUAACUUUUACUUCAGUUUGUCCGUUCAUGAGUCAACAUUGACUAUUGCCUCAUAUAUAAACAUUUUAUCUCACUAGCACAUUCGCUUUAUUUUUCAUUUUACGAUUAUUCGCAUUUUUGCUUCAUAUAUAUAUAUAUAUAUAUAUAUAUAUAUAUAUAUAUUACGUUACAUAAAUCUCAGCUCAAAAACUUCAUUUUGAGCACCAAAAACCUCAAAAUAUCAUUUUUAUGAUUAAUACAAUAUUUCAAAGGUUUUACAUUCUUUGUUGCACCACAAAAUAAUUUUUAUAGGCAACUAUAUUUUUUUAUUUCGCUUAAAUAUGUAAUUUAUAUUUAUUACAUAUUUUUAAUACUUUAUUUAUGCCCGAAAUGAAGUUUCUCGGCAUAAAAUAUCACUUGUACUCAAAUUACGCCCCAAAAGACUUUAUUAAAUUUAUUAUGACUUAUUAUUUCUCCGGAAUGCGAUUCGGAACGUCAAACUUCAAAAUCGCUCGACGCACCGACGCUCGGCGUUUGCUCAAAUUUUAGUUCUGACAUGAAUGUUCGCUCAUUUUUAAAUUUUCAAAUCAUGAGUCAUGUAACAGCGAAAUUUCGGGCGUAUUAGAGAACUCAUGGCAUAGUAUUUUAGAAAAAUUUCACACCGCGAAAAUGGAUCACGGAAGCUCAUAAAAACAGUGCGCGAAAAGCAUGUCAGACAGCUGCCCAGCAGUGCAGCGCGGCGCCGCACGCCCAGUGCGCGCACGCUGCUGCCCAGCGGCGUUGCCGUUCCGCCGCUCGCAUACCAAAUCCGCUAUUUUACGAAUUUCGUACGCGUUGCUCGUAACUCCGAUUAAUCUGGUUUUUGGAUAUGUUAUACAUGGCAUACCCAAGUAUUUUUAAAAAAUAUCAGGGCUGGGUUUCAGGUAAGAUAGGCUACCCAAACAGAGCGCCAAAAGUGUGCGUUCAUCACAGUUUUGUCAAUUUUUUCCCAGAUUUACCCUCUCUCGCUAAAACAACCAUAAGUCUCGCAUUUUAAAACAUUUUUGAGCGAUUCUUGAGCCCACGCGAAGAUAACUUUCAGGGCUACAACUUUUGUCUCUUGACAUUUUUCAAAAAUCAUAGCACAACAGUCCAAAAAUUUACAUCAAUGAGGCUGUUCGGGAUUUGAGGAACAGUUUUAUAUACUCUCCUUCCGAACGCCAUAACUACCUCAUCCGGAGUCGGAAUUAGUCCGUUCCGGAGUCUAUGGAAAGCUAAAUCAGAGUACUACAACAUGCCAAAAGCCCAGAAUUUUAUGAGUAAAUUAACUGACCCCGAAUUUUCUGUUUAGGGGCAGCAGUCUACUACUUUUCUUGAGCUUUUAAAAAAAACUGUUUUACUCUUCUUUCUUCCAAUCAAACUUUUAACACCUAAAAUGUUUAGAUCUACACAUACCAAACCAUAAAACAUGUAGAUCUAAAGUUUUGAAGUUCAAGAUACAUAGCUUUAUUUUGACAGAAACCACCUCAAUAAAUCAUAUUAACUAACUAGAGUCUUGAAAUAGGAGAACUUUUAAACCUUUUUGUUUUGAUGACUUUUCUUCCUCUCCAUCCAAGGGUGAUUAUGGAGCUUGGAGGCAUGAAGACUUCUCUUCCCUCUUCCCACAGGAGGGCUGCCGAACCAACACUCUCCUCUCUCUUUCUAUUUCUUUUGCUAGCUCUUUGGUGGAGAAUAGAAAGUAAAGUAACUUCUUCUUCUUCUUCUUUUUUUAAAUGUAUACGUAGAAUGUAUGUAUAUAAAUUUAGCAAAUCUUGCAAAGUCUUGAUAAUUAUUAAAGAAGCUAUACUAGGAGGACACAUGGGCUAGGGAGUAGUUAAACCACCCUUUGAAAUAAGAGAAAAAUGAAAAGAACCAUGUGCUUAAAAUCCCUUACAUUAUCCGGCCAUAUCUCAUUAAUUUUUUUUAUUUUUAUUUUUAUUUUUAUUUUUAUUUUUUUAUUUUUUGGCUAUUUCUGAUUUAUUUUUAAUUUGGCUUAAUAAAAUGACAUAAAAGUCCCACAAUAAUUGGGCCAAAAUUUUUGGGUCAUUAUAAUUCUUAUCCCACACAUAAUAUACUAGGUUAGAUUAUUAAUUUAAUCGCCCUUAAACCAUAUUAUCUACAAUUCUCGUGCUUAAUUAAUUAAUUGGGCUUGUUUAACAAUAUAACCCCUUUAGUCCAUUAAAUCAAAUUCUUUUGGACUCUAUUCAAAUUAAUUGGGCUAUGACCUUAUUAUAGUCUAUUAUUUUUAAUUCUAUUUCAUUCUACCCUUAUCCUUUAAUUAGGGUUUUCACGCACUCAAAUGAAAUAAAAAUUCUUACUUAAGUACAUUUAAUUUCUUAACCUAAUUAGACUUGCUAUAAUUAGGAUAUAAAAUUAAUUAACUGAGAUGUAUAAAAUAAAUCUCUCAUAAUUGGUAUAUAUUCUAAAUACCAUAAUUCUCUUUUCCCAUAACCCCUAAGUUAUUAAAUCUUUCAUUCCUAAUUUAUAAUUAGGAUCACAUUAGUUUCUUUUAUUUGUUUAUAUAAUAAACAAAUAUAAACUAUCACAUAAUCUUCAUAUUCCUUUACUCACCUAUUCGAACAAAAUAAUUUAAUAAAUUGGGACAUGUUCCACAAUUCACUUAAAUUAGGUCACUAAAAUAAAAUAUUAGGACCACUAAAUAACGAUAACCAUUUAGGUUAUUUAAUUAUCACGCCUAAUAUAUAUAU